rnacentral:rRNA from 1 species
UACGAAGGGGGCUAGCGUUGCUCGGAAUCACUGGGCGUAAAGGGUGCGUAGGCGGGUCUUUAAGUCAGGGGUGAAAUCCUGGAGCUCAACUCCAGAACUGCCUUUGAUACUGAAGAUCUUGAGUUCGGGAGAGGUGAGUGGAACUGCGAGUGUAGAGGUGAAAUUCGUAGAUAUUCGCAAGAACACCAGUGGCGAAGGCGGCUC